GGUGCGGGUGGCCCGUGGACUGGACCUCUGUGCCUCCAGCUCUCCGCUUCAUGGAUGGGCUCCUGAUGGCUCAGAGGCUGUGACAAAGCCUCCACUCACCUUCCCAGAGCCUGUGUUUGCAGUGGGAGCUCCCCUGAGCCGGACCAUGGGUCAUGGGACCUGACUCUGCGGUUGGAAUGAGUGGCAGUUCCCAGAGAGCCAGGCUUGGUGGGCAGACCUGCUGGGGAAGCCGGCCCUGGAGUCUCCUCUGCCUGCAGAUGGCUCAGGGGAGCCAGAGUGGGGGCUGGACAUGUGGUUGAGAGGGUAUGGGUGCAGGCAUUGAGUGUGUGUGUGGGUGUGGCCUGGCCUGCAGGAAACCGUGCAAACGCAGAUGCUCCCCAGCCCUCAGCCUGCCAGCCUUCCAUCUCUGGUGCUCCCCAUCCUCCAAACUGCUCCUAUCAGCCCCCAUCAACCUUCCUUUCCCCUCACCUGCCCUCAGAAAGUCGGGGGUGAUUCCAUGACCCACCAGCCCCUGUGGCAGGGCAGACAUCCAGCUGGUGGCUGCAGGCUCCACACAGCUCACUGUGCUCUUCUGAGAAGACACAGGCUGAGUAGGGAAGGUGGGGAGGGAGGCAUCCCCAGAAGAGAGUGUCUGAGCCCGAAGCUCUUGAGACAGGAGAAGGGGACUGUCGUCCUGCAGGCGGCACUGUGCGUGUUAGAUGCCGUGGGCACAUGUGGACGCUGUGUAAACAGGCUGGCUGUGUGGGGCAUGAAGAAGGCUGCCCUGAGCCAGGGCCGCAUGGCACCUCUGGAACACGGGGAGCAGUGGGGAGUCCUGGAGGAUGAGUGACCCUCAGGGAGAGAAGGAGACUCCUGUUGGAGAGUGCACGGAUAACCCUGGGGACCAUGCCAGGCUAGAAGGCAGGCCGUUUGAAGGCUGCAUUUGCUGAACCUGAGGACCACAGGAGCCACCCAGGCAGAGGGGGUGUGAUAUGUUGUGUUCUUGCAGGAUGGCUCUUGUGGUUGUGUGCAGAAUGAAAGGAGCAGGUGGACCCGGCCAUUAGGUCCACGGUGGCAGAGACAGCAGGUGCCGUGGGAGAAGGACCUUGGAUACAUCCCUAGGAAGUGGACGAGUUGUUCCCAAUAAUGGAAUGAACUGGAUUUCCUGAACAAGCCUCCCAGUGAAGAGGAAGGACAGCUUCCACUGGAGCUUGUCAGAGGAGUAACUUGAACCUCUUAGCGAAGACCGGAGUUAAAUGGGCAGCUUCAUCACACCAUCGACGUUGACCCCAGGCUGACAAAUGUGACCUGCUUCCGUUGGUCUUUGAAUCCUCAUUUCUAUUUUAACUUCAUUGUAUACAUCUUUUAUGUAAUUUGCUUCAAGUUAUUUUGUAGGGAAAUGUGUAAAAAAAAACA